rnacentral:rRNA from 1 species
CCUACGGGAGGCAGCAGUGGGGAAUAUUGCGCAAUGGGCGAAAGCCUGACGCAGCGACGCCGCGUGAGGGAUGAAGGUCUUCGGAUCGUAAACCUCUGUCAGCAGGGAAGAACGGUCACUGUGCUAAUCAGCAGUGAAUUGACGGUACCUGCAAAGGAAGCACCGGCUAACUCCGUGCCAGCAGCCGCGGUAAUACGGAGGGUGCGAGCGUUAAUCGGAAUUACUGGGCGUAAAGCGCUCGUAGGCGGUAUGUCAAGUCAAGGGUGAAAUCCCCGCGCUCAACGUGGGAACUGCCUUUGAAACUGGCAAACUGGAGUGUGUGAGAGGAUAGUGGAAUGCCAGGUGUAGGAGUGAAAGCCGUAGAUAUCUGGAGGAACAUCAGUGGCGAAGGCGACUAUCUGGCACAUAACUGACGCUGAGGAGCGAAAGCGUGGGUAGCAAACAGGAUUAGAUACCCUUGUAGUA